rnacentral:lncRNA from 1 species
AUAUUUUGCAUUCAAAAAUUAAGCACAAACAUCAAAGGGUGAAUGUUUUUGGUGUCUUCAGAUGGAACCAACAGUAUCCCACACAGCUGAGAAGGCAAACUCGGCCUGCGUAGAUGGAGAAACAGGGUCUGGGCCAGCGGAGAGGUGAUGUCCUGUUGUCCUCGGGGCUGAGUGCUCAGGAACUGUCUGUGGCAUUGUAGAGAGAACCAUGAAGAUGAGAUGACUCAGUGAUCAGUGCCUGCAGGGAUCUUAGCAGCUGCGUCAUCUGUGCGGGCUCAGACCUUCUCCGCUGUUUGUGAAACCUGCUCCUGUGGAUGUCCUGCCAUACCUCAGAAGAGCUCCUGUGGGUACCCCAAUCUGGGGGAGCCAGGUCAGCUGAGGAAACAAGUCUGUUAAGAGCCCCAGAAAGUGGAAAUGGAGAAUCACAAGAUUCACAAGAUGAGAAUCACCUUUGCACAGGACAAGGGGAGAUCAUAGCGACUCCUCAGACCCAAAGCAGGCUGACAAGGAGGUAAAGCGGCUUUGCUUUUUUGUGGGACCCAAGUAUGCUCAGUGAGUGAGCUGAUUAUUUUCUGCUGAUUAGAGUGGAAAAAGAAAUGGCAUUUAUUUGUGGAAACAAACUUGCAGAAGCAGAGGUGAGCGGGAUUCUUCAGUGAGUGGGUCAUUGAUGCUGGCCUCAAGGCUUUCGGCCCGUCCUCGGUGACUCCCAGCUACAGGCAAGACCCAGCAGCAGAAGAACCCUGGGAACAGACUGUGUCCCCAGACCCUGGCUGCCUCCAGGGAUGUUCUUUCUAAUGCACCCAGAACACAAAUCACAUGGCUUCACCGUGACAGUUAUAAAUUUCAUCCACCAUGGAGAGUUGGAGGCAGGCGAUUUGUUGGGUCCAAGUCAAAGGUUACAAAAGAAUUCUUCAGAUUUGGGUGAUUUCCACACCUAUUAGGUAAGUUUAAACAUAUCCUUUUGCUUCUAAGGAAAACAGCUUGUAAAAUACUUGGGAGCUCUGGGGACAUCAAACAGCUCUUCGAGGAGUGCAUUUUAAUGGCUUGCUUGUAAAAGAUUCAGUAAAAGAAGCAGAAACAUAUGGUUUAAAUUUUUUUAAAUAAUACGAGGUAUUUUGUAGACAUCCUUUUUUUUUCUUUUUUCCUGAGGGUCUCAACACAUCUUUGAGUGCUUAUCCUAAAAAUACUCACAAUAUCCCUUCCACACAGACCCAGCGCAGGAGACUGCCAGGCUGCAGCCUCUCCUUGCUGUUCGACCUAGAGAUUCCGGCCUUGCAGGUUUGGGUUCCUUGAG